AUAAGUAAAGAUUUUAAGGGCGUACGGUGGAUGCCUUGGCGAUAUCAGCCGAAGAAGGACGCGGUAAGCUGCGAUAAG
rnacentral:rRNA from 1 species